AUUGAACGCUGGCGGCAGGCCUAACACAUGCAAGUCGAGCGGAGCGGCGGACGGGUGAGGAAUGCCUAGGAAUCUGCCUGGUAGUGGGGGAUAACGUCCGGGAACGGGCGCUAAUACAGCAUACUAUCAGCUCAGCCUAGGUCGGAUUAGCUAGGUGGUGGGGUAAAGGCCUACCAAGGCGACGAUCCAGAACUGCUCUGAGAGGAUGAUCAGGCACACGGGAACGGAGACACGGUCCAGACUCCUACGGGAGGCAGCAGUGGGGAAUAUUGGACAAUGGGCGAAAGCCUGAUGCAGCCAUGCCGCGUGUGUGAAGAAGGUCUUCGGAUUGUAAAGCACUUUAAGUUGGGAGGCGUUACCAACAGAAUAAGCACCGGCUAACUUCGUGCCAGCAGCCGCGGUAAUAC
rnacentral:rRNA from 1 species